rnacentral:rRNA from 1 species
CACCGGCAGCCCAAGUGAUGGCCGAUAUUAUUGGGCCUAAAGCGUCCGUAGCUGGCCGCGCAAGUUCGUCGGGAAAUCCACGCGCUUAACGUGUGGGCGUCCGGCGAAAACUGUGCGGCUUGGGACCGGAAGAUCUGAGGGGUACGUCUGGGGUAGGAGUGAAAUCCCGUAAUCCUGGACGGACCACCGAUGGCGAAAGCACCUCAGAAGGACGGAUCCGACAGUGAGGGACGAAAGCUAGGGUCUCGAACCGG